GAGUUAUACAACUCCAAAACCUUUGUGAACUUAUCAUUAUUGCCUCGGCGGAUGCCACGGUUAUCUUGGUGCUACCCUAUAAGACUGAACGGGAACAUCUCCUUGUGAUCUACUUGAAGAUUUACCCUAUAGGUAUUAACGGGUGCUCCAGGUCCGUACUAAAGGCCCGUCAAAGGACCCUAAAAUUCUUGAACCUUACCUCUGAUUGCUUCAACUAAAUAAGUUAAAACUUUCAACAACGGAUCUCUUGGUUCUGGCAUCGAUGAAGAACGCAGCGAAAUGCGAUAAGUAAUGUGAAUUGCAGAAUUCAGUGAAUCAUCGAAUCUUUGAACGCACAUUGCGCCCAUUAGUAUUCUAGUGGGCAUGCUUAUUCGAGCGUCAUUUCGACCCUUAAGCCUAGUUGCUUAGUGUUGGGAACCUAUUUUUUAGAAUAGCUCCUUAAAAUCAGUGGCAAUGUUAGAGCAUACUCUCAGCGUAGUAAAUGAUCUCGCUUUUGUAGUAACCCUAAAAUUUGCCGUAAAAUACCCUAUAUCUAAUGGUUGACCUCGGAUUAGGUAGGAAUACCCGCUGAACUUAAGCAUAUCAAUAAGCGGAGGAAAAGAAACCAACAGGGAUUGCCCUAGUAACGGCGAGUGAAGCGGCAACAGCUCAAAUUUGAAAUCUGGCCUCGCGGUCCGAGUUGUAAUUUGUAGAGGAUGCUUUUUGGUUUGGUACCUUCUGAGUUCCCUGGAACGGGACGCCAGAGAGGGUGAGAGCCCCGUACGGUUGGAUACCUUUCCUUUAUAUAGCUCCUUCGACGAGUCGAGUAGUUUGGGAAUGCUGCUCUAAAUGGGAGGUAAAUUUCUUCUAAAGCUAAAUACCGGCCAGAGACCGAUAGCGCACAAGUAGAGUGAUCGAAAGAUGAAAAGCACUUUGAAAAGAGGGUUAAAUAGCACGUGAAAUUGUUGAAAGGGAAGCGUUUGCGACCAGACUUUUAUCUUGCAAAACAUCUGGCGUUCUCGCCUGUGCACUUUGCUUGAUUUAGGCCAGCAUCGGCUUCUUCAGAGGGAUAAAGGCUUAGGGAACGUAGCUCCUCAGGGAGUGUUUUAGCCCUUCGCGUAAUACCUUUAGAGGGGCCGAGGAUCGC
rnacentral:rRNA from 1 species